AUUGAACGCUGGCGGCAGGCCUAACACAUGCAAGUCGAACGGUAACAGGAAGCAGCUUGCUGCUUUGCUGACGAGUGGCGGACGGGUCAGUAAUGUCUGGGAAACUGCCCGAUGGAGGGGGAUAACUACUGGAAACGGUAGCUAAUACCGCAUAACGUCGCAAGACCAAAGAGGGGGACCUUAGGGCCUCUUGCCAUCGGAUGUGCCCAGAUGGGAUUAGCUAGUAGGUGGGGUAACGGCUCACCUAGGCGACGAUCCCUAGCUGGUCUGAGAGGAUGACCAGCCACACUGGAACUGAGACACGGUCCAGACUCCUACGGGAGGCAGCAGUGGGGAAUAUUGCACAAUGGGCGCAAGCCUGAUGCAGCCAUGCCGCGUGUAUGAAGAAGGCCUUCGGGUUGUAAAGUACUUUCAGCGGGGAGGAAGGGAGUAAAGUUAAUACCUUUGCUCAUUGACGUUACCCGCAGAAGAAGCACCGGCUAACUCCGUG
rnacentral:rRNA from 1 species